rnacentral:rRNA from 1 species
GAUGAACGCUGGCGGCGUGCCUAAUACAUGCAAGUCGAGCGAAUGGAUUAAGAGCUUGCUCUUAUGAAGUUAGCGGCGGACGGGUGAGUAACACGUGGGUAACCUGCCCAUAAGACUGGGAUAACUCCGGGAAACCGGGGCUAAUACCGGAUAACAUUUUGAACCGCAUGGUUCGAAAUUGAAAGGCGGCUUCGGCUGUCACUUAUGGAUGGACCCGCGUCGCAUUAGCUAGUUGGUGAGGUAACGGCUCACCAAGGCAACGAUGCGUAGCCGAACUGAGAGGGUGAGCGGCCACACUGAGACGAGGACACGGCCCAGACUCCUACGGGAGGCAGCAGUAGGGAAUCUUCCGCAAUGGACGAAAGUCUGACGGAGCAACGCCGCGUGAGUGAUGAAGGCUUUCGGGUCGUAAAACUCUGUUGUUAGGGAAGAACAAGUGCUAGUUGAAUAAGCUGGCACCUUGACGGUACCUAACCAGAAAGCCACGGCUAACUACGUGCCAGCAGCCGCGGUAA